UUUCUUUUCUAGUUUCGGCAUCAAAGUUAUUCCAGAAUCACAAAAUGAAAUGUGAAAUAUUCUCUUACAUUUUCUCUUCUGUUGGUCAGCUGGAAGAAAGCAGAUAUUAAAUCUUUCCUAUUUGUUUGAACUUGCAGAUGUACAUGUACUACUCAUGUUUUCAUCAGGAGAACAGAAACACAUUAUAUAUUUCAAGAGGGAAUUUAACGUGAGUAAUCAAUUACAAAGGUACGAGAAAAUUAAAGUGCAAAAAGCAAACACUACUGUAACACUGAAAUAGUAACUUUAGGAGUAGCUGCCUAAUAUAGCUUGGCUGUGUCCCCACCCAAAUCUCAUUUUGAAUUCUCAUGUGUAGGAGAUACCCAGUGGGAGGUAACUGAAUCAUGAGGAUGGGUCUUUUCCAUGUUGUUCUCUUGAUAGUGAAUGUCUCAUGAGAUCUGAUGGUUUUAAAAAGGGGAGUUUCCCUGCACAAGCUCUCUUUUCUUGUCUGUUGCCAUGUGAGACAUGCCUUUCACUUCCACCAUGAUUGUGAGGCCUCCCCAGGCAUGUGGAACUGUAAGUCCAGUAAACCUCUUUCUUUUGUAAAUUGGCCCAUCUUGGAGACUGUAAGUCCAGUAAACCUCUUUCUUUUGCAGAUUGUCCCAUCUUUAUCAGCAGCAUGAAAAUGGACUAAUACACUGACAGUCCCAGGACUGGGAGUGAAUGAAACAGGAAAAAGCUGGUGGUAAGAUUUCUGUGGAGGGGCUGCUACCCUGCUCAUACUGGUACUGGAGCAGGCACAGGGGAGUGGUUCUGGGAGUGCUCAAAGAAACUGGAGCCGAAAGUGCUGUUGCUUUCAGGGUGAGGUUGGCAGGAACAGGAAGACAGACAGGAAGUCCCACCUCCAGACCACAUAGAGUGCCUCCUAUUGGCCAAAACUUACAGGAAGCCAAAUGAGAAUUGGGAAAUAAGUUUUGUAAAGUCUCAGUUCCUGAAUCACAGAGCAGAUUACAGUAGGGGUUUUUGAGCUGAAAAUUAAUAAAUAUUUAACCAACAAAAUAGAUGUCAAAAUUAGUUAUUGAUAUCUAACUGGAGUGCUCUUUUCCAUUUAAAGUUGAUGCUUGAACAACAUGGGUUUAAACUGUGUGAGUGCACUUAUGAGUGGAUGUUUUUCAAUAAAAGUUACACCAAGUGUGCCUGCCUCUCUUGCCUCCCCUUCCACCUCCUGCACCGCUUCCACCUCUGCCAUUCCAGAGACAGCAAGACCAACUCCACUUUUUCUUCCUCCUCCUCAACGAAUUCAACCUAAAGAUAGGGAUGAAGACCUUUAAGAUUAUCCACUUCCACUUAAUGAAUAGUAAAGGCCCAACACUGUGUGGAAGCUGCCAAGGCUUGGGGCAUGCACCCUCUGAAGCAAUGACCUGAGCUGUAUCUUGGCCUCUUUUAGCUACAGCUGGAGCUGGAGCAGCUGAGACCCAUGGUACUAUGUCCUGAGGCUGUAGAGAGCAGUGGGGCCCUGGGCCUGGCCCAGGAAUCCAUUUUUCCCUCUUAGGCCUCUGAGGGGCUGUGAUGGGAGGGGCUGUGAUGGGAGGGGCUGCUAUGAAGAUCUCUGAAAUGCCCUGGAGACAUUUGUCCCAUUGUCUUGGUUAUUAAUGUUGGAAUCCUCAUUAGUUAUGCACAUUUCUGCAGCUGGCUUGAAUUUUUCCCGCAGAAAAUGGGUUUUUCUUUUCCACCACAUGGUCAGCUGCAAAUUUUCCAAGUUUUUCAUUCUGCUUCACUUUUAAGCAUAAGGUCCAAUUUCAAACCAUCUCUUUGUGAAUGCAUAUGACUGUACACUUUCAGAACAAACCAGGUCACCUCUUGAAUGCUUUGCCACUUAGAAAUUUCUUCAUCCAGAUACCGUAACUCAUCUCUCUCAAAUUCAAAGUUUCACAGAUCUCUAGGGCAGGGGCAAAAUGCCACCAGUCUCUUGGCUAAAGCAUAGUAAGAAUGAUCUUUCCUCCAGUUCCCAGUAAGUUUCUCAUCUCCAUCUGAGACCACCGCAGCCUGGAUUUCGUUGUUCAUCUCAUACCAGCAUUUUGGUCAAAACCAUUCAAGUCUCUAGGAAAUUCUAAACUUUCUCACAUCUUCCUGUCUUCUUCUGAGCCAUCCAAACUGUUCCAACCUCUGCCUGUUAUCCAGUUCCAAAGCUGCUUCCACAUUUUCAGGUUAUUUUUAUAGCAGUGUCCCACUCCCAGUACCAAUUUCCUGUAUUAGUUCAUUUUCACACUGCUGUAAAGAACUACCUGAGACUGGACAAUUUAUAAAGGAGAAAGGUUUAAUUGACACAGUUCUGCAUGGCUGUGAAGGCUUCAGGAAACUUACAAUCAUGGCAGAAGGUGAAGGAGAAGCAAGUACCUUCUUCACAAGGCAGCAGGAGGGAGAGACAGUGAGGGAGGAACUGUCAAACACUUUCAAACCAUCAGAUCUCAUGAGAACUCAUUCACUAUCAUAAGAAUAGCAUGAGGGAAGCUAUCCCCAUGAUCCAAUCACCUCCCACCAGGUCCCUUUUGGGUGGGGACACAGAGCCAAACCAUAUCCAUAAGAAAAAAAUUAUUAAUUGAACUGCAUAAAUAUUUAGUAAGUGAAUUAAAUCUAUGCUUACAUAUUUAUGAAUUUAUUAUUAUAGAUAUUUGCUCCAAAAAUCAAUACCAAGUCUAGAAUUUGGUAAAAAAACUAAAAGACCCAAGCUCAGGGAGACCAGUGGCCUGCGGGCUAUGGAAUGACUUUUAUUGAAAUGCCUGAUUCUAUAGAUUAACGUUUGUGUGGCUCAGGUCAAGAUGCUUCAUCUCUCAGUGUCAAUAUGUUCUUUAAGAUGGGAAAUAUACUAAUGCCACCCAUUAAACAGGCCUAAUGUGGAGGCCUUUUUGACUACGUGGACUUCCUGAUCCUGUGCCAGGCAGCUGGUAAGGGGGCUAUCUGGCCUCUGUGUGCUCAUGUCCUCUUGGCGUUUCUGAAGCACUCAAAGGUUAGUGCAUCCAGGUUACCCUCAACCACAAGGCCCAAGGUUGAGAGAAAUACCCCAGUUUCCUCUGUCCUCAGUAAGACAAUUUCAAGUCAGGUCCACCCAGGUUUCUCACAGCCUCAUCAGUAGGAAGAGUUGAGCUUUUGUUGCCCACAGUGAUAAUUCCCUCAUUAACAUGCUCUUUUUUGGCGCUUUUCCUUCCCUUGGCUCAUGUCCACAUGCCCACACAUUGUUUCCUGGGUCACAUCCUAAAUAAAUACAUUUACAAAUCCAUGCCUCAAAGUCUGCUUUGCUAGGAACCAAACUUUGACAGCUAACCCACCUCAACUGAGUGCACAUCCUGGCGCAGGCUCGAAGCCCAGAGAAGGCUGGUUGCCACUGGAACACCCAGGAGCCCCUCACACUGUGCUUCGCCUACGUUGUGUGACUUCCGAGCCAUAGCAUGUGAGAACCUCCCAAGAAUUUAUCUGGAAGCUUUCUCAAUGAGUAAAAGUAAACAGAUUUGGGGUGGGGUCUUGCAUUUCCCAAAGCACACAGACAGAAUUCAUUGUAUUAAUAUAGCUUUUUAUUUUGAAUUUACUCAUACAGAGUGAAGAAAUACCUUAGAAAGAGAUAUUUCUGGUAAAAGGGGUGUGCUCUGACCUACAGGCUAAAGUGCCUCAACUGGAUUCACUUGUGUACAAAUUAGAGUAACUUGUCUUAACUGUAUUGAGGCGGGAAGAAGAAAAAGAAGACAAGAGGAAGGAAGGAAAUAAGAAAAAGCUGAAUUUAAAUC
rnacentral:lncRNA from 10 species